CAUUAAUGAGAUAGGGUUCUCAGAGCCCGAACCUCCAACCCUUUGUGUACCUUACCUUUGUUGCUUUGGCGGGCCCGUGGGGUCACCCACCGCCGGCUUCGGCUGGCCAGAGCCCGUCGGAGGACCAUUCAAACCCUGUUUAUCAGUGACGUCUGAGUACUAUCUAAUAGUUAAAACUUUCAACAACGGAUCUCUUGGUUCUGGCAUCGAUGAAGAACGCAGCGAAAUGCGAUAAGUAAUGUGAAUUGCAGAAUUCAGUGAAUCAUCGAAUCUUUGAACGCACAUUGCGCCCUUUGGUAUUCCGAAGGGCAUGCCUGUUCGAGCGUCAUUAUCAACCCUCAAGCCCUGGCUUGGUGUUGGACCCUUAGGUGGGGGUUGCGUCCCCCACCGGUCCCAAAGACAAUGACGGCGUCCGGAGGACCCUCGGUACACUGAGCUUACCUUGAAAGCACGUACUGACAGUGGCCGACGGACACGGGUCUCAUCCUUUAUUUCUCAGGUUGACCUCGGAUCAGGUAGGAAUACCC
rnacentral:rRNA from 1 species